AAUUAGUUAAUUGUACUUUUAGGAUUAAUUGUGAUUUGGGGUGGUUUCAGGUGAUAAGUAUAAUAGGUGAAAAAAGUCAUCAUCUGGAAUCUGAUCUUACCGCUGGAGAUGAUCAGCAGCAAAAGUCUGCAGUCUUAGUUCAGGAAGAACAUUUUGUUUUUAGCGCUUUAUGCAGUAUGUGCCAAAAGUAGCCUUGCUGGCUUAAUAAGAAAAGCUCAAAUGUAACCAAAAGGUGCCAGAUGAAACAUUUGCUGAUGACCAGUAUUGUAUACCGCAGUCACAAGAGGAAACAAGCACUCCUCAGAUAUUGAACCAGAACUGAAACCAUCUACAGAGCAAGCCCAGAAAACCUCAUCUGAGCAAGCAACAGAAUCAACCAGUACCACAUCUGUUCCCAAAGGUGGUAAAGAAAAUGGGAGACCAGUGAAGUGAAAGCAUUUGAAAAACAUCUGUACAGGUUCAUAAAAACUUGCACAGUGCCAGGAAAAAAACAUGGUGAGGCCUGUAUUAAAGCUGAGCCUGUUGCACUGAAAGGCAGGGAUUAGUUGUCUGUUAAGUUCUUUGUAAAAAAAAUAGAAUCACUGCCCUUAAAAGGAAAAUGUAACCCAGAAAAAGUCUGCAUGGUUUCAUUUGGUUUUAUUUGCACAGAUCAUUGGUAGUUUUAGUUUAUUAUUAUUAUUAAGUUUAUGGCUUGAAUUUUGUAUUGUACAAUUUAAUUUUUUCUACUUUUUUACUUCAUUUAUGAGAAACUUUUUUUGAGUGUUAAUUAGUAACUGCCUGAAAAUACUAUCUUUGUGAAAAUACUGCAUUGCAAAUGGCAAAAUGUUUCAGAUUAAAAUAAAA
ensembl:lncRNA